rnacentral:misc_RNA from 1 species
UUUCCGUAGGUGAACCUGCGGAAGGAUCAUUAAAGAACGCCCCGUUUUUUGAAAUGGGUAAUUCUAAACCGUGUAUACAUACCUUUGUUGCUUUGGCAGGCCGCCCCUCAGGGCGUCGGCUCCGGCUGACUGCGCCUGCCAGAGGACCCAAACUCUUUUGUUUAGUGAUGUCUGAGUACUAUAUAAUAGUUAAAACUCUCAACAACGGAUCUCUUGGUUCUG